ACAUGGGUAAGUCCUAUGCGACCAGCUCCCUUUGAACCCUCCAGGGCCUGACCGCAGCAAAGGUAUUAGGUUGAGCGGUGCGACGUAGAUAGCUUACCCACC
rnacentral:SRP_RNA from 1 species